GUGCCCACUUCAGUAGCGCAUAUACUAAAAUCGGAACGAUCCAGAGGUUAGCGUAGUCCUGUGCAAGGAUGGCACGCAGGUCUGUGAAGGAUUCCAUAUUUUU
ensembl:snRNA U6 U6 spliceosomal RNA